GACGAACGUUGGCGGCGCGCUUAACACAUGCAAGUCGAGCGAGAACCAGGGCUUCGGCCCUGGGGACAGCGGCGAACGGGUGAGUAACACGUGGGUAAUCUGCCCUCGGCGCCGGGAUAGCCCGGGGAAACCCGGAUUAAUACCGGAUGUCCCCUCAGCCCUUCGGGGCGGUGGGAAAAGGUAGCUUCGGCCUCCGGCCGAGGAGGAGCCCGCGGCCGAUUAGCUUGUUGGCGGGGUAACGGCCCACCAAGGCGACGAUCGGUAGCUGGUGUGAGAGCAUGAUCAGCCACACUGGGACUGAGACACGGCCCAGACUCCUACGGGAGGCAGCAGUGGGGAAUCUUGCGCAAUGGGCGAAAGCCUGACGCAGCGACGCCGCGUGCGGGAAGAAGGCCUUCGGGUUGUAAACCGCUUUCAGGAGGGACGAAGCCACUCGGGUUAAUAGCCCAGAGGGUGACGGUACCUCCAGAAGAAGCCCCGGCUAACUACGUGCCAGCAGCCGCCGUAACAC
rnacentral:rRNA from 1 species